GAUGAACGCUGGCGGCGUGCCUAAUACAUGCAAGUCGAGCGAACGGACGAGAAGCUUGCUUCUCUGAUGUUAGCGGCGGACGGGUGAGUAACACGUGGAUAACCUACCUAUAAGACUGGGAUAACUUCGGGAAACCGUAGCUAAUACCGGAUAAUAUUUUGAACCGCAUGGUUCAAAAGUUAACGACGGUCUUGCUGUCACUUAUAGAUUGAUCCGCGCUGCAUUAGCUAGUUGGUAAGGUAACGGCUUACCAAGGCAACGAUGCAUAGCCGACCUGAGAGGGUGAUCGGCCACACUGGAACUGAGACACGGUCCAGACUCCUACGGGAGGCAGCAGUAGGGAAUCUUCCGCAAUGGGCGAAAGCCUGACGGAGCAACGCCGCGUGAGUGAUGAAGGUCUUCGGAUCGUAAAACUCUGUUAUUAGGGAAGAACAUAUGUGUAAGUAACUGUGCACAUCUUGACGGUACCUAAUCAGAAAGCCACGGCUAACUACGUG
rnacentral:rRNA from 1 species